rnacentral:rRNA from 1 species
GACGAACCGAGCGAACGUUGUUCGGAAUCACUGGGCUUAAAGGGCGCGUAGGCGGGCUGUCAAGUCUGGGGUGAAAUCCCGCGGCUCAACCGUGGAACUGCCUCAGAUACUGACGGCCUCGAGGGAGAUAGGGGCGAGCGGAACUAAUGGUGGAGCGGUGAAAUGCGUUGAUAUCAUUAGGAACUCCGGUGGCGAAGGCGGCUCGCUGGAUCUUUUCUGACGCUGAGGGACGAAAGCUAGGGGAGCGAACGGG